rnacentral:rRNA from 1 species
UUCUGGGAGGAUCGACAGAUUCAGAGCUCUUUCUUGAAUCGGUGGAUAGUGGUGCAUGGCCGUUCUCAGCUGGUGGAGCGAUUAGUCCGGUUAAUACCGAUAACGAACGAGACUCUAGCCUAUUAAAUAGGUGCGUGGUUCUCUGCGCCUUGCACCCUUUUUAGAGGGACAAGAGGCUCCUAGCUGCACGAAACAGAGCAAUAACAGGUCUGUGAUGCCCUUUGAU